rnacentral:lncRNA from 1 species
UGGCCUCAAAUUUCCAAAGCCCUCUCUCCUUCCCUUUUUGCCCUAGUUUCUUUAAACUAACACUCGCCUCUCUCUUUCCCUUUUGGUGAAAUUUGUUUGUAGUCCAAACCCUAAAUUUUGAAAGCAAUCCAGCCUCUUCUCUCCAAAAGUCAGUUUCAAAGACCCGCAACCGGAAAGAACUGCUUAUUCGCCACCAGUGAUUUCUGCUCGUUUCAUCCAGCGAUCGACGAAUUCUGCUCAUUUCAUACAGGUGAACGACGAAUUCUGCUCGCCUCAUCCAAGCCAGUGGCAGAGGCGACAUUUUCUGCCGGCAAUCAAACUUGUUGUUUUUUUUUUUGCAUUGAAAAUGAAAGCUUCGUCAAAUGGUUAUCCGGUAGAAGGCCGGCAAUUCUGUUCUUUAAUUCGCUGCUGCUGUUGCUAUUUGUGUUUAUAAACCAUAAGCUUAACAAGAGCUAUUCUCUGUCUGUAGCUUGUAACUGAUUUAUAAACCAAACUUUUUCAUCUUUAUCAGGUAAAAGUAAUAAUAAUUCAAAGUAGUCAUAAUUGUGUUAAAAAAGGAUAUGAUGAUUAGGGGUAUAGUGUACAUGAUUGCUACUUCCACAAGCAUAUUUCACCAAGUUCUUAUUUUUAUUUUUUCCCUUUCUGUAGUUAAAUGUCACUGUACCUUUUGAAUAGGCAGUUAGAUAUAUUCAAGAGUUUUUUGUACAAAUUGUAAUUGUCAGGUUCAAGGAAGGUAAAUUCUGGGCUGGGUUCAAGAAUGAAUUUUUUUUAAUAGCCUCUUUUCUUUUAUAUGCCUAACGUUAUAACUGAAAACCAACCAUUAAACUGGUCAAAGCAGCUUCUUUUUAAUUCACCCCAUCAACCAAUUUUCUAAUAUUUUCCUCUAAAAACUUUAGUUUAUACACACUUUUGUCACAAAAUAUAUUUUGGGGCUUUCUAUAUUUCACACUUUCAACAAAAUUACCCUGUUAAAAACUACAGAACAUUUUUUUUAUUUUUUAGAAUUUUUACAAUUUUUUGUGAUUUUUUUUAUUUUUAGAGGUUUUUUAUUAUAUUUUCUUAUAUGGAUCGAUCCGGAUAGUGAUCCAUCCAUUUAAGUUGGAUCAUUAAUGGAUCGGAUCGUGAUCCAAUCCAUAUCCAUCCAUUGACAGGCCUAGUUUACGGAAUAUGGUUAGGGCACGAACAUAUGGUGUUAAGUUAAACAGGGUUUUUUAAUUAAAAAAAUAAAUGGUGACUAGGAUGGUGACUGGGAUGACAUGUGGGAUAAAACUAACACCUUUUUAGUUUUAAGUUAAGUGGGACCAAUGUGUACAAGAUUGUAAACGUGUGAUUAUUAAAAACAAAUUUUCUUUAGUUUUUCUAUAAAAAUGUUAGCCUGUUAGUGUAAAACUUUAUUAAUUUUUUUGUAAAAUGAUUUUUUGCUCUAUUAUGACUAGAGUUUAAUAAAUAUUUGUUGAAAACUAAAAUAUACAUCGGAGAUGAAGUUUUCAUCAAAAGCAUUCUAAACUCUAUCGAGACUGUAGCAAGAGGAAGGGUCCAGAGCUUGGACCCAAAUGAUCUAGUUGGUGGUACAGAGAUUGGAUCAAAAUGGUGUGAGAUAAACAUUCAAGUACCAAUAAAAAAAGAUGAAAACUUGGUAAGACCAUAUGUUUUAUUUUCUACAAUUCAAGAUUGUAUUGGUGCAUCCAUCGCAUGGCCCUAUCCAUUCAUCUUGGUAGUCCAUGAGGAUUGAGGACGCAUGAUGAUUCAAGAUUUUAUGCUUCUUAUUUCUUUAAUUGCUUUUAAUUUAUUUGUUAAAUGUUAAGACUUUAUGUUAGAUAAUGUUAUAACUUAUUUAUGGUUAGUGUUUUUGUUAUAAACAUGAUUAUUUGAAAUAUAAUUAAGUUUUAUUUCUU